rnacentral:rRNA from 1 species
UACGGAGGUGGCUAGCGUUGUUCGGAAUUACUGGGCGUAAAGCGCGCGUAGGCGGGCUGUUAAGUCGGGGGUGAAAUCCCGGGGCUCAACCCCGGAACUGCCUUCGAUACUGGCAGUCUAGAGGAAGGCAGAGGCUAGUGGAAUGGCGAGUGUAGAGGUGAAAUUCGUAGAUAUUCGCCGGAACACAAGUGGCGAAGGCGACUGGCUGGGCCUUUUCUGACGCUGAGGUGCGAAAGCGUGGGGAGCAAACAGG